UGUCAAUUGAAGGUAAAAGAUGAGGACACCUGCAAAUCAUCAGGAACCAAGUUUUAUGCACUUCUUAAAUCUUAGAAAAAUUUAAAUUCCAAGUGGACAAUCAAGAAUAAAGAAAAAUUCAACAAUGUUGAUAUUUCUAAAUACCAUAUUUGCAACAUACACAAAUGAAAUAGAAUGAAAGGAUCUAAUAUUUGUUGGACAUGUAUUUUUAAAGUUAGGAUUUAUGAGGUCAAAUAAAAAUUAGAGCAACGACAGAGAAAUGCUUUAGACUGAACAUGGAUCACGCCUUAUACUAUAGCAAUCCUGUCUUAUUUUAUCUCUUACUUCAUAGUUCAUACACAUUUUGUUGUUGUUAUAGUAAACCUAUUGUGAUAAGAAAACCCUCUCGUAAAAGUAUUUGAACAAUAUUUUCGGUAAUAUUAGUAGAUGCUAUUCGAACCACCCUUUUUCGAUCCAUAUCAGCAUUUCGUAUAGAAGUUAUUAUCUCAGCAAUAGUGUCCCUGCCCAUGAUGAACUAAAAUUAUUGGGGUCUCCAAAUUUGAUAUAAUCAACGUGUUUUUUACUUAUUUAUUUUUGAAUAUGAUAUGAAUUAUUAAAGAUAUAUGCGUGAGACACAAUCUACUAAUUAGUUGAUUUAGGCAUAUUGUCAAAUACCUUCCGUUCAUCAAAGUGCAAAUCUAAUGCAGUUACCAACAUGCAUGUGAAAAUAAACAGUAAAAAUAUUGAUAUCACCAGAAUUUCAUUAACAGUAAUCGGAUGCAUUAAAAAGCAAAAAUAGAUAAAAACUAAUUGAAUCUUGAAAAAAAAUGGAUAAUUCGGAAGAAAGCCUAAUCAACACUUUGAAGCUAGAUAUCCAGAGAAUUUUUGGAAAACCAAUAAUAUAUAAGCACGACAGAUGUACAGUAUCCUGUCGCUUUUAAGUUUGUGAAAACUAAUUGUGUCAUACAUUUCUUCUAUCACUACAAAUUAUUUCGCUAAUCUUAAAUUCUAUCUACACCUAAAACAAUCAAAGGGAAACAACUUUCAAGAUAAAAAGCAAAUUAUCCUUAAAUUCAAUGACAUGCAUACCUAAAUAUCCAGAGAAGAAUGAAAAUAGCCACCAUCAUAGGCCCUUUCUCAAGAGUUGGACACAUUAGGAAGAGAAAUUGGGAAAAAGGGAGAAGAAAAACUUAUUGUAGCUAAUGAAUACAUCAAUAGGGAAGAGAAAUUUGAGGCGAAAAAAAGAUUAAUCCAGAUGAAUAUGGCAGAUUCUUGACCGGAGAAGAGUCU
rnacentral:lncRNA from 1 species